rnacentral:lncRNA from 1 species
CCGGGCGACCGCACAAGCGUCGGCGUCCUUAGCGUUCCGCCGGUUUAGGCGGAGGCGGAGGCGGAGCGUUUGGGGGCGGCCGGGGCGGCUUCGGCUUCAUCGGAGAAGGCGGCGCGGCUGCACCAGGUUUGGCCGCGGGCGCGCGGGGCCAGCGCCCUCCAGACCCACGGAGCGCCCCGAGCGCCUCGCGAGCCGCCGCCAAAUGCGCCCCAGGUCCGCGGCCGGCGCCAGUGCUGGGACCUCGGCGGCCGGUGUCGGAGCGCGGCGGGAGAGACCCUGCCUUGGGUGCGGGACUGGGACGGCUCGGACCCAGAGGGCUCCCGGGGCUUCGCCUCUCGGACGGGUCAGGGCUCUGCGGUCUCAGGACGCUCCCCCGUGAGUCUCGGCGGCCCCGGGGUCUGGGCGGCGUCGCUGCCCCACAGGCCGGGCGCGUGGGUUUUUCCGGGGCUCUGCCUCUGAGCCACCCUCGGAGAAAAGACAGCUCUGUGCGUCCCGCGGCGCCCGCAGCUUUCGGCAAACAUGUUUAAAGGAGCUCCCCGAAGGAACUGGGGACGUCCGUCCGCUCAUCAAAGGCUUCAAUCCUGUCGGUGUCCCCGGGCCCUCUCCUAGCUGGGCCAGCGCGCAGGGUGGGGGGGCGCUGCAGGUGUCGCGGCCCCCCCCAACCUCCGCAGACCCUUCCAACCCCUCAGACCCCCCAAAACCCCCAGAUCCCCCAACCCCCCAUAUACCCCCAACCCCUCAGACCCCCCAACCCCCCAGACCCCCCAACCUCCCAGGCCCCCAGACCCCCCAGCUCCCUUGCUCCCGGGAGCUCCCAGGCCCGUCCUGCAUGCGCCUUGGGGUUGUUCCUCCUUGAUGGACGCCGCCUCCGGGUUCCAUCCCAAGUUUAAAUGCCAGAGAUUUCAAUGGAAAUAAAGCCCCCAUCUUAACAGCGU